rnacentral:rRNA from 1 species
GACACGGGAAGGGAAGCAGAGCCGGGAAUGGAAAGCCCGGUGCAAGCGAAGGAGUCGCAGGGUUGGAAAAUCCGCCCUGCAUGAGACGAAGGCGUGAUGCGGAGCGAAAUGAAGUAGUGAAGCUGCGGCCCCUUCCUGUCGAGAAAAGCCGCUAUCGUGUAGCAGGGGCCCGUACCGUAAACCGACACAGGUGGAUGAGGAGAGGAUCCUAAGGCCGGCGGGAGAAGUGUUGUUAAGGAACUCGGCAAAAUGACUCCGUAACUUCGGGAGAAGGAGUGCUGCGCAAGCAGCCGCAGAGAAAUGGCCCAAGCAACUGUUUAGCAAAAACACAGGUCUAUGCGAAACCGGAAGGUGAGGUAUAUGGGCUGACGCCUGCCCGGUGCUGGAAGGUUAAGGGGAGAGCUUAGCGCGAGCGAAGGUUUGAACUUAAGCCCCAGUAAACGGCGGCCGUAACAAUAACGGUCCUAAGGUAGCGAAAUUCCUUGUCGGGUAAGUUCCGACCCGCACGAAAGGCGUAAUGAUUUGGGCACUGCCUCAACAACACACCCGGUGAAAUUGAAAUACCAGUGAAGAUGCUGGUUACCCGCGCCAGGACGGAAAGACCCCAUGGAGCUUUACUCCAGCCUGAUACUGGGAUUCGGUAUUGCAUGUACAGGAUAGGUGGGAGGCUAAGAACUCAUGGCGCCAGCCGUGAGGGAGCCGAUGUUGGGAUACCACCCCUGCAGUACUGGGUUUCUAACCUGCGCCCGUGACCCGGGCGGGGGACAAUGUCAGGCGGGGAGUUUGACUGGGGCGGUCGCCUCCGAAAGGGUAUCGGAGGCGCUCAAAGGUCUCCUCAGGAUGGUUGGAAACCAUCCAGAGAGUGCAAAGGCAGAAGGAGGCUUGACUGCGACACCGACGGGUGGAGCAGGUACGAAAGUAGGACUUAGUGAUCCGGUGGCAUAAGUGGGAUUGCCAUCGCUCAACGGAUAAAAGCUACCCUGGGAUAACAGGCUUAUCACUCCCAAGAGUUCACAUCGACGGAGUGGUUUGGCACCUCGAUGUCGGCUCAUCGCAUCCUGGAGCUGGAGCAGGUUCCAAGGGUUGGGCUGUUCGCCCAUUAAAGCGGUACGCGAGCUGGGUUCAGAACGUCGUGAGACAGUUCGGUCCCUAUCCGGCGCGGGCGCAGGAUAUCUGAAAGGAGCUGUCCUUAGUACGAGAGGACCGGGAUGGACCGUCCGCUGGUGGACCGGUUGUCAUGCCAAUGGCACGGCCGGGUAGCCAAGACGGGAAGGGAUAAACGCUGAAGGCAUCUAAGCGUGAAGCCCCCCUCAAGAUGAGAUAUCUAUACUCGAAAGAGUGAGAGACCCCUUAGAGACGAUGAGGUAGAUAGGGCAGAGAUGGAAGCACAGCGAUGUGUGGAGUUGACUGUUACUAAUCGGUCGAUAGCUUGAC